AUGCAGGUUCUAUUUUAUUGUUCCGAGACAUAUGAUGAUAGCAUUGAGAAUGAGAAAUCUUUGCAAAAUGCACGUAUUAUUAAGGAGUUCUGGAACGAUUACUACGCUAAGCUGUUGGAUAUUGACAAAACGAAAAAGACUUCUAAUGUUGAUAUGUAUCAGGAUGAUGUUAGAAAGUUGUUGAUUAAUGAAAAGAAGAAUCAAAAUGGUGUGUUUUCCGAUACUGAAUUAAUAGAUUUACAGAAUCAAAUUGCAAAUUGCACAAUGAAGUUCAAUGAGGAUAAUCUAUUUAAAGUAACUCCUAACAUAGUAAAGUUCUUGAUUAAUAAAGAUCAGCCUAACGCUAAGCAAUAUCUAAAGGGUUGCCUACCAAGUAGCUUACCUAUGCUUAAGAUGUUUGGUAUCUAUACGCUUGAGGCUAUCAUGAUUCAUGUACUAGGAUUGGUAUUCAACACUCUUCAGGAAUCAUCCGCAGUUAAGGCAGCUAGAUUUAUAGAUCAACUUAAUUCAACUAUACGAGAACAAGCAAGGUUUCUACAAUACAAAGCACCAGGUAGUGGUAAGGUGGAAGCAGUACUCACUAGUAAGGUAGAAUCAGUUAAGGAUGUUGUUCAGCCCAAAGGUGCUAGCAAAAAAGAGAAAAAGAAAAAAAUUCAGUGUCAUUAUGAUAUCGGGAAAUACUUGCUCCAAUUCAUGAUUGAAAGAAAUGUUCUACAUAUAUCAACAGAUAGGGGAGUAACAAAAGAAGAUCCAGUGCUGGUUCUUAAGAAAGGUCAAGGGUACAUAGAGAAUCCUUGUUAUGUUAUGUGCAAUUUGAACAUAAAUCUGCUCCCUAUCAAACUCAAUCUUCCGAUGCUUUGCAAACCCUUGGAUUGGCAACCAGCAGAGAGGGGGUCUGAUCCUGAUACAUUAUCGGAUCUGAUAGGAGGUUACUUAUGCAAAGCCACGGGGGAUAUCUAG
rnacentral:rRNA from 1 species